rnacentral:rRNA from 1 species
AUGGAGGUUCCGGAAGAUCGUAGAGUUCCUUUGGUCGCAUACAAGCUGAAAGGAGGAGCCGGUGCAUGGUGGCAUCGCGUUCAAGAGGAGCGCAGGCUGAGAGGAGAACCUCGUGUUAGAACUUGGCAACAAAUGAAAGGCCUCUUGAAAGGGAGAUUUUUGCCCGUUGAUUAUGACCAGAUCCUAUUUAUCCAAUUUCAAAAUUGUGCUCAAGGAAAUAUGACUGUUUCAGAUUACACGGAGGAGUUUCUAAGGCUACAAGUGAGGUGCAACCUUGCUGAAACUGAAGAGCAACAAGUUGCAAGGUACAUCAAUGGUCUCAAUGAUGCUAUUCAAGAUCGAUUGAUGAUGCAACAAAUCUGGUCCGUUGAUCAAGCACAAGCUCUAGCCUUAAAGGCCGAGAGGUUUGUGAGGAUGAGAAAGACAACUAAGGCUCCAUAUCCUCAUACCGAAGGCUCAUCUAGGAACCAACCUAAUAGAGUGGAAGAAAAGACCACUCCACCAAAGACAAAACAGCCCAUCCCGAAGCAAAUUAGAGGCAAGGGUACGGCAAAUGAAGGCCCAAAGUGCUAUAAAUGUGGUAAAGAGGGACACAUAUCCAACGGUUGCCCACUAAGGAAAUUUGUUAAUUGCCCACUAAGGAAAUUUGUUAACACGAUUAUCCAUGAUGGUGAAAGCGAUGAGGAAGAAUACGAAUCUGAAGAUGUAGACGGACAAGAGGUUUGUCAAGAAGAAGGUGAAGAGGUGGUAUGUGUGAUCCAGCGUGUCCUAUGUUCCACACCACAACUCGAUGACACACAACGGAAGAAAAUAUUUGAGAGCAAAUGCACGAUGAAUGGCAAGGUAUGCAAACUAGUGAUUGAUAGUUGCAGCUGCGAGAAUCUUAUCUCCUAG